GAUGAACGCUAGCGAUAGGCUUAACACAUGCAAGUCGAGGGGCAGCGAGGUGUAGCAAUACACCGUCGGCGACCGGCGAAUGGGUGCGUAACGCGUAUGCAACUUACCUUUUAGUGGGGGAUAACCCGGUGAAAGCCGGACUAAUACCGCAUAUGCUCCGAAUAUCACAUGAUUUAAGGAGGAAAGAUUUAUUGCUAAGAGAUAGGCAUGCGUUCCAUUAGUUUGUUGGUAAGGUAACGGCUUACCAAGACUACGAUGGUAGGGGGACUGAGAGGUUGACCCCCCACACUGGUACUGAGAUACGGACCAG
rnacentral:rRNA from 1 species